rnacentral:rRNA from 1 species
AUACGGAGGAUCCGCGCGUUAUCCGGAUUUAUUGGGUUUAAAGGGUGCGCAGGCGGCCAUUUAAGUCAGCGGUUAAAUCGUGGGGCUCAACCCCAUUCUGCCGUUGAUACUGGGUGGCUUGAUUGCGGUCGAGGUUGGCGGAAUUCGUUGUGUAGCGGUGAAAUGCAUAGAUAUGACGAAGAACACCGAUUGCGUAGGCAGCUGACCAGACCGCAAAUGACGCUCAUGCACGAAAGUGCGGGGAUCGAACAGGAUUAGAUACCCUGGUAGUCCGCACAGUAAACGAUGAAUACUUGUUUUCGGCGAUAUAAUGUCGGAGGCAAAGCGAAAGCGAUAAGUAUUCCACCUGGGGAGUACGCCGGCAACGGUGAAACUCAAAGGAAUUGACGGGG